UAAGAACCGUGGUUAAAAAAUUUUCGAAGUGCCAAGAAAAUGCUUACUGAUUGUAUGCCAACAAGCCUAUAAUCCCUUAUGAAUUCAAUGGCCAAGCUGGAUCCCCAACCGAAUAAGCUUCAGAAUCUCAACAAAAUAUCUAAACGCAAUAACCCAAUGAUGUGCAAGCUAAAUGAAGACCAUCCAAUUUGCAUGCAGGCUUGAGAAAAAUCCAGAAAUAUAGGAUUUUGGUCCUCUUCUCCUCCGCCAACCCUAAAGUUCAAUCAAAACCACAAAUCUCAUCAGAUCCUUCGUCAAACUCGGGAUUUCGAAUCGAAUCUAAACGCGUGGUCUCGAAGAAUCCCCGCCAAGAUGUACAAACACACAUUCAAAAUCUCUCAUUGAAUAUGCCAAACAAAACUUUACCAAACGAACUGAAAUUUAUUGGAACCUCCGCCAUCAAAGAGGAACAAAAAGAUAGGUUAAUCUUCAAAAGAACAAAAAAAAUCCAUUUUAUUGGAAGCAUAAAAAAAAUGUAAAGCCACCCUUACACCAAUCACACAAAAUCAGAUAAUCAAACAAGUACCAAAAAUAAAAAUAAAAAUAAACAAAAAAUUAGAUAAAAAUCAAAGACUAAAAUGAGGGGCUCUGACCUCCUACUGAAAUGUAACAGAGGAAGGCUUGACUGAGUUGUAACAAAUGCCCACUAAAAUGAAGUCAAGAAGCAUGAAAAGGGAAUAGUACAGUAGGAAAAAAUAAAAAUCAGAUGAGAGAUGAUUAUGAUAGAGGUUGAGUAGAGAGAAGAAGCUAAAUAGGUCUUGAAGGGCUUCAUCAUCGAGAAAAGGAGCUACCUUUUUUGCUCAGGGGGAAAAAAGAUCACCACAAAUAAAAAAGGAGCGUAGAACGAAUAAGAUUGGUGAUCAUUUAGUAUCCCGCGAGGAAAGUUACUGAUCCUCAAAACCCUCCCCGCCCCCGCACCCUCUCUCUCUCAGAGUGAGAGAGCCUCAGCUUUUCGGGCGGUGACAAGUGGUGUUGGGCUCUGGAAUGAAAAGCGAAUGAUUCUAGACUCGCACCACCUUCGAUAGCGUGGAGAGAGACCGGAAGCGGCUGGAGAAACAGAACGGUGGGCAGUGGAGUGCGAGCUUAAGAUCACUUGCGGUAAGAACAGCGAUAAGAAAAGCGAACCGUCGAUCCUCUUUUCCGAUAAAAAUCCUAGAAGAUUCUCUUAACUUUUUU
rnacentral:lncRNA from 1 species